rnacentral:rRNA from 1 species
CGCACCUUGCACCUUCCAGUCCUCUGGAAGGUAUGCCCGGUUGAGUAUUAUGAUCACCUCAAACCUAUGAUUUUCUGAUUGCAAAGACCAAUGCUCUGACGAAAGCACUCAGUGGGGUGCUAGUAGUUGCUGCUUGGUUUGGAAGAUCUUGGGUCUUGGACUUGAGCUCUGUUGGUUCCCUCCGGAUCAACUUGCUUGAAAUGUAUUAGCUGGCGACCCGCCUUACGGUUCCACUCGGCGUAGUAAGUUCUAUUCGUCGAGGACGCCUCUUUCGAGGUGGCCGAAAGUGUAGAUUUGAAGCCGCUUCCAGUCGUCUUUGGACGCUUUGAAUCUUUAAUCUCAACUCGGGUAGGACUACCCGCUGAACUUAA